rnacentral:lncRNA from 1 species
ACUUCCUUUCCGUAUCAACAGGAGGCCAGGGACCGGCUGGACCCCUAGGAGCCAGGUCCUACGGAUAGGUGAGCCGGCACCCCAGGGCAAACACCUCCACUGGGCAGACCUGACUGCCCAGAGCUGGAUUCUUUACUUGUAAAAGGAGCCAUGAGUGACACAGGCUUGGCCUGCUGUGCCUUGAGGAAAGGAGAGGCUAAAAAUUCUGCCUUCCCUCCUGAAGCCAGCCAGGCUCUUUAUGGUGGGGGAAGGACAGAUUUAUUUAUUUGCACUCUUCUGAAAUAAAAGUUCUCCAUCCUCCCUCCUGGCUGCAGUUGGGAGGGCCCCGUGGGUGGGCUCUGUGAUGUGGCACACGGUACCCAGGGCAGGGCUGGGAAGGGUGGGGUGCAGGGGCCUCCCUGGCUGCAGGGCCCACCCACCAGGUGCCUGGGCUUACUGCACUAAGCAGGCAUGGGCUCCGGCCCCCCUCACUGUCCCUUCCAGGCCCAGCCUGUGUUCAGGACCCAGGACAGGGUCUGACCAGCAGGCCCCAGGCCUCCAAGGCGUUCUCAGCCUCUUGAGUGAGUGUGAUGAUGAGCACUCAUGGAGCUUCCUGCAUGCUGGGCCCUGGGCUUCUGAGAGGGCCACAGGGUGGAGACUGAGUCACGAGGUGGAGGGCCAGUCCCAGGGACUCCAGGUGACCUCGUGUCGGCACCACACCCUUCUCCCAUGGGCAGUCCUGGGCGCCCCUUCCUGGCCUUGGGCCCAGCGGCCUGUGGCCUGACCCCAUCCACUCCUGCUUGGUUGUCCCAGCAGCAGCAGGAGCCCAUGCUGGAGAAGGUGUUAUGGGGCAGGUGGAGGGCCCGGCUGACUCAGAUCAUCCCCCAAGUUUCUUUUCAAUGAACACUUGUUCAGUGUAGUUUUUCCUCCUCAGAUCCCCCUCACACAGGCAGACACCCUCUUGGCCCAGGGUAAUCUGCUGAGCCUUUGCUCAAAUAUAGCAGCUUUGCUGCUUUCUAAACAUAACUAAUCCAAUUUGGGAUUUGGGGAUUGGAGGUGGGCAGCACUGGGCCUCAGAUGAGCCCCCAUCACCCCAGACCCAUGCAGAAAGAGCCAGGCAGGGUGGGGCCCUGGGGUCACCUGGUGGGCUCAGGGCCAGGGCAUCACGAGGUCCCCAUCCUUCACACUAUGGGGCUUCCUGGCUGCAGAGUUGGGGACUCAGCUGGGAAUGCUGGCCAUAGAGGCAGAGAGCCCCCUCCCGCUGGGCCAGCCAUGACCUGGCUUCUCCAGGGUGGCCCAGUGUUCCCUUCUGCUCUUUCCCUGGCCCCCACCGUCCACAUCCCUCUAUCUGCCCACCCUGGACAACAACCAGCACAGUGCACUGUGGCCCUGCAGUGACACCAGCUGCAGAGAGGUCAGGCCCAGCAUCCCCCAUCUCCUAAAAGGCCAGCAGGUCCCAGGAGCUGCGGGUGGGGCCUGGCUGUGGGGCCUCUAUGCCCCAGGGGCCAGGGCAGACCCUCCUUAGCCGGCAACCACUGCAGAUUCCUCCCCUGGCCAGCACUCGGGGACCUCCCUGCCCCUGCCCCGUCCCCCUACCUUACCUGCUGAGACAUAGGGCUCCACGGGUCUCUCUCCUGGGGCCGGGCUGACUGUGGCCUGCAAGGGGCUAUCAUCGUGUUGGGUUUUCCUGCCAGAGGCAGAAACUGCAAAAUUACCUGGAACAUACACGCCCCAAGUGACAGAUUUAAUUCAAUUCCACAAAUAUUGACCUCGCGUCUAAUCCACUCGUCCUCCAGUGCCAGCUCUUUCCUGAGAAGCCCAGCCUGGCAGCCGCAGAUCCCAUUUAAUCCCAGCCCCACAAUGUCACCAGCUCACAGCUUGGGAGCUGGGCUCAUCCAGGCCCUGGCAGGUGGGGCCAGAGCUGGGCUCUGACCUCUGUACCCACACUUACCACCAUGCAAAGUGCUGGGAAGGGGGUGGGGAGUCACGGCAAGUUGAGGGUCCAGGCUUGCUCCAGCCCACCAGAUGCUUGCCCUGGCUGCCCUGAUCUAGCAGCUAAUCUCUGCAGGGCACUGCGGCUACAUGGUGACUCCAGCACUGGGACAUUUAUCAGAAAUGGAACUGAUGGAUUAAAGUGGAACCAAGCG